GCAUCAAUGGGGUAGUGGUAACCUGGGUCGUUGCCAUGUCAUUGUGCGGUUAGUAGGGAUGUCUCUACUCGACCCGCCGGGGGUUCGAUUCCCCCUUGAUGCA